CGAGUUUAGGAUUACAAGGACGGUGCAACUGCAUUGGGACCAGAUCUGUUUUUAUUCAUCCAAAGUCCAUCCGGAGCCUGGAAUUUAUUCCCAGAGGAUCUGACUGUGAGAACACAGAGAUAAUCAUCACACUGAGAAAUAAGAGAAAGGUGUGCGUGAAUCCUGAUGCUAAGUGGGUGCAGGCACUCAUAAAUGCCAACAAAGGUCCCAGAAAAGACAAAUGAAAGAUGAAGCUAUAGUCUGAAGAAUGCAACUCCGCGCCUGAAUUACCUGACAGGGACAGAGGAAGAUCUGCUCUAUUUGUUUACUAUCUGACAUUGCCGUCUGAUGGUUCAUUCUAGAGUCUUCACUUCAUUGA